rnacentral:rRNA from 1 species
AUUGAACGCUGGCGGCAGGCUUAACACAUGCAAGUCGAGCGGGGGAAGGUAGCUUGCUACCGGACCUAGCGGCGGACGGGUGAGUAAUGCUUAGGAAUCUGCCUAUUAGUGGGGGACAACAUCUCGAAAGGGAUGCUAAUACCGCAUACGUCCUACGGGAGAAAGCAGGGGAUCUUCGGACCUUGCGCUAAUAGAUGAGCCUAAGUCGGAUUAGCUAGUUGGUGGGGUAAAGGCCUACCAAGGCGACGAUCUGUAGCGGGUCUGAGAGGAUGAUCCGCCACACUGGGACUGAGACACGGCCCAGACUCCUACGGGAGGCAGCAGUGGGGAAUAUUGGACAAUGGGGGGAACCCUGAUCCAGCCAUGCCGCGUGUGUGAAGAAGGCCUUAUGGUUGUAAAGCACUUUAAGCGAGGAGGAGGCUACUCUAGUUAAUACCUAGGGAUAGUGGACGUUACUCGCAGAAUAAGCACCGGCUAACUCUGUGCCAACAGCCGCCGCCG